rnacentral:lncRNA from 1 species
GUUUGGUUUGUCUCGCUUAUUAGUGAAGAGGACAUGGUAUGCAAGAAAGAAGUGGGGGCUUGUGGAAAGGAAAUAAGAAUUCUGGAAUCCACAGGUUUUGGAAUAGAAAGGAGCUGUGGUUGGCCUGGGAUGGGUGCUACAUAUGAGAGUGUUUUUCAAGGCACUGGAGUGAUGCUGUGACACUGGAUGGGGGGACACAAGUUCACCUGACAGCAGGUAGCUUCAAUCUCUUAACUGCAAUUCUCUUUCAUAUCCUGUGGCCAUUCCAAUGUUGUAAGUGGAAAUUUAAAUUUUGAGGUAGGGGUAAGAAAAGUGUACAUGGAGAGAUGAGGCCCCUCCAUUCCCCUCGCUCAGGUUCAGUGCUCUGUCCUUGUGCUAUGGUGCUUGAGCACUAGAGUCCUAGCAUGCGGAGUCACAAGAGGAUGCUUCACUCCCGUGUGUUCUCAUUCCGCAUCCUGAUACUAUUUAACUAUCUCCAGGUUGUACAGAUGGAGGAAAAAUUGCAGAAUAGACCAAGACACCAUCACAACCUAUGGAAAUCCCCAACAAGCAACGUUACAAAAAUCUUAGUCGAUUUUUCUGGGGUACAUACUCUAUUAACUCUGAAUCAGUUGUGGCUACUGUCCAUGAGCUCAGAAGCCCUUCCUUGGGAAAAUGUAAAUCUGUGAGGUUUAGUGAUGACAGUGGCCCUGACAAAGCUCCAUCCAAGGCUAAAGGACUUCCACAGCAUUCCCAGCAUCAGCCAUUACCUCACCACCGUGUGAUACCAAACUUGGUAGAUGAGAAACAAGUCCAAGAAAAGAAAAUCCUCACAAAAUCUACCCAAAAACAAAUACCACCUUGUUUCAAAAGUAGGACCUAUGUGGUGCCACAUCCCACCACUGAGAGAAGGAAACAGGCAUCCCUACCAGCUGGAAGCCUGCCUGGGAAACAUGGACCAUAUUCAAAAGAAACCAAAGAUUAUGAUGAGCGAAAACAUCAAAAAGCUAUUAGCAAGCCCACUGACAACUUGCCCAGGGGCACCCUACAUUCUAAAGCUAUCAGUCCAACCACCAUCCAUCCUGAGCAUUGCAGGAGGCUCCAGCUCCAUAAGGACCCAGAGAAUAACGAAAGACAACUAGAGUCAGAGAACAACAAGGAACCCCAUUCAGAUUCCUCCCCUACAGGAAACCGACCCAGGUACAGGAAUAUUUCCCAGCAAACACUGUUCAUUAUUGCAAGAACAGGCCUCAAC